rnacentral:lncRNA from 1 species
UCUUUCCAUUUUUCUUAUUAUAGAAGUCUUACUACUGUAGCUACAUUUAUUCUUAAAUUUUGUUUUGUUUUGAAACUUUUAAUGAAUGACAUUUUGUUCAUUUUUAUUCAGCACAAUUUUUGUUAUUGGCUAUUGGUAUAUAUGAAAUCUACUGCAUUUUAUAACUUGAUGAUAUCAGAACUUAGAAUUUUCUGGUAGAAUCUUUGGGAUUUUGUGGCGGUUUGAAUAUGCUUGGCCCAAGGAGUGGCACUAUUGGGAGGUGUGGCCUUGUUGGAGUAUAUGUAGCCUUGUAGAGGAGGUGUGUCAUUGUGAGUGUGGGCUUUAAGACCCUCCUUCUUGCUGCCUGAAAAUAGUCUUCUCCUAGCAGCCUUCAGAUGAAGAUAUAGAACUCUCAGCUACUCCUGCACCAUGCCUACCUGGACACUUCUGUGCUCCUGCCUAAAUAAUUGUGGACUGAAGCUCUGAGCCUGUAAUCUACCCCAAUUAAAUGUUGUCCUUAUAAGAGUUGCCUUGGUCUUGGUGUCUGUUCACAGCAGUUAAACCCUAGUUAAGACAGGUUUUGUGUUUAUUUAGAUGAUUGGUUGACUGGUUUGUCAUAUAUUUAACGUUGUUCAGGUGGCUGUGAACCUAUUAUAGAUGGUCUUGAAUUUAUGAAUCUUCUGUAUAGCUUCCCAAGUACUCAGAUUAUAGGUAUUUGCCAUCAUACCUAGUUUAUGUUAUAGACCUCUAGAAAAAGAACUGGGAUCUUUUUCUCUUUGAGGUGAUAAUUAAUUUGAUGAAAUUGUGACCCUCAGGAACAACUCAGGCACUGGAGAGCAUUUUUAUAAAGAGGUGAGUGGACCUAAGUGAAGCUUUGAUGGGUAGGCUAUGUUCCAGUAACCCUUGCUAAUGACUUUAAAAGUCUCCGAGGGAGGCCUGUGGGAGCUAUUGCACUGUACUUUUGCAAGGAAAUACCUGUCAGAAAGCUAUAGUCAUGACUAUACAGCGUACAUGGAAGCCUUGGUAGAAAUGCUGGCUUGUUGAAUUUUGCUUUUAUUUUUAUUUUAGAAAAUGGAAUUGGUUUAUAAGAGAAGCGAAUGGGAUAUGUGGAGG